GAUGAACGCUGGCGGCGUGCUUAACACAUGCAAGUCGAACGAAGCGCUUUUAUUUGAUUUCUUCGGAAUGAAGAUUUUAGUGACUGAGUGGCGGACGGGUGAGUAACGCGUGGGUAACCUGCCUCAUACAGGGGGAUAACAGUUAGAAAUGACUGCUAAUACCGCAUAAGACCACAGUACCGCGUGGUACAGGGGUAAAAACUCCGGUGGUAUGAGAUGGACCCGCGUCUGAUUAGGUAGUUGGUGGGGUACCGGCCUACCAAGCCGACGAUCAGUAGCCGACCUGAGAGGGUGACCGGCCACAUUGGGACUGAGACACGGCCCAAACUCCUACGGGAGGCAGCAGUGGAGAAUAUUGCACAAUGGGGGAAACCCUGAUGCAGCGACGCCGCGUGAGCGAUGAAGUAUUUCGGUAUGUAAAGCUCUAUCAGCAGGGAAGAAAAUGACGGUACCUGACUAAGAAGCACCGGCUAAAUACGUGCCAGCCGCCGCCGUAACAC
rnacentral:rRNA from 1 species